AGACACAGCAGGAGGAGCAUAAAGUCAAAUGUUUCGGGACGAAACCCUACCACAGGUCGGGAAAGGGGGAAGAGGAGCCCAGAUUAAAUAGAGGGAGGUGGUGGAUGCAGGAUAUCUGAUCACAAGAGGAUUGCAGGAUUUCACACUAUGUUAUUUUCCAGUACUUUGGUUCCUCUGAAGAAUCGGAUAAAGUCAAAUGCACUUAGGUCAAGUGUUUUGAAUUUUCCAUCAAGAAUGAGUUCAGCAAUAGAUCUGCCCACAGCAGGUGGAAGCAAAAGAUCACUAACUCCUGCCAACAACCCGAGAAAAGCAUCUGAAAAGCAAAAGGGACUGCAGUUGCUGGAGGUCGCACAACUGCUCCUGAUGCCUUUCCAGUUAGUAAAGUUUUCAAACUUUCCUUUUAGUGUCAUAAUGCCUUAAAAUGAAGAUCAAGGUACAAGUCCCUAAGAGUAAGAGGAGAAAUGCCUCAAAGGAACAGGAGUGCCAGCAACCGUAACAAACGAAUGUAUCAGUGUUCAACACUGCAACAUGGAAUAAACUAUAGCUGCCAAAGAACUGUGCCCAAACUAGCCCAAAAUUUCUUGUUCAAACCAGCAGGUGGCAGAUGUUUGAAAUGUUUUGGUCAGUCAGUUGUGAAGUCGCCUCCCAAGUCAGAAAGGCUUUGUGGAACAAGUUCAUGUGCAGCCCAGUUAGCUCAGUUCAUAGUUAAUGGGAGUCUUAACUCUAGGGUCACGGUCUCAAGCUCCACACUGGGGCUGAUGAUCCAUUACUUAAUAUUCUAUUUAAGGAGGUAAAAUAUUGGACACUAUUAAAGGAGCAAAAAUCAACAUCACAAAAAAAACAGGUUAUCUGGUCAUCACCACAUUGUUGUAUGCGCGAGUUUGUUGUGCAAAUUAGCAGUUGUAUUGCCUGCUGUCAAACAACUACACUUCAAAAUUAUUUAUUUAGCUGUAAAGCACUGAAAUAUCAGCUGGUUGUGAAAAGGACUUACAAAAAUGCAAGUCCCUUUUUUGGACUUUGUGCGAACACAGGAUGCAAACAGUUGAGUAUCUUUGCUAGUGUGUUCUGCCUUGGCUGAUACAAAAAGAACAGACACUUAGGUGAACAAAUUAAACCUGCCACAGUAACACAGUCAGUGCCCAAGGGGAGGAAACAUACAAAAUGUUAAAAAGGUACAGUUUAAAUCUUCUACAUGAAACUCUGUUAGGUUAAUAAAUUUGCAAGCAUAGGUUCUCAGAAUAUUCUGUUUCAAAUCACUAGUCUAGAAUGUUUAAGAAAAUCUUUAGCUACCAUUUGUUUGAACUGUUCGGAGAUCGUUACCAAAAACCUGGUAAAGUAUUAUGCCUGUCAUGGCUGUUCUCAUUGCUGUUCUCCCCAAGGUUCCCCUUGUAACCAUUCUAUAAUUAGGGAAGGCAAUGGCCUAGGGGUAUUAUCGAAGAACUGUUAAU